GGUGGGCUUGUGGAAGCGCCGUCGCUCAACGGAUAAAAGGUACCCCGGGGAUAACAGGCUGAUCUUGCCCAAGAGUCCAUAUCGACGGCAUGGUUUGGCACCUCGAUGUCGGCUCGUCGCAUCCUGGGGCUGGAGUAGGUCCCAAGGGUUGGGCUGUUCGCCCCAUUAAAGCGGUACGCGAGCUGGGUUUAGAACGUCGUGAGACAGUUCGGUCCCUAUCCGCUGCGCGCGCAGGAAACUUGAGAAGGGCUGUCCCUAGUACGAGAGGACCGGGACGGACGAACCUCUGGUGUGCCAGUUGUUCCGCCAGGAGCAUGGCUGGUUGGCUACGUUCGGAAGGGAUAACCGCUGAAAGCAUCUAAGCGGGAAGCCUGCUUCAAGAUGAGGUUUCCACCACCCUCGUGGUGGGAAGGCCCCCAGCAGACCACUGGGUUGAUAGGCCGGACGUGGAAGCGCGGCAACGCGUGGAGCUGACCGGUACUAAUUGGCCGACAACUUGCCACA
rnacentral:ncRNA from 1 species